UAAGGAAUAUUGCUCAAUGGGAGAAAUCCUGAAGCAGCAACGCCGCGUGGAGGAUGAAGGGUCUAUGACUUGUAAACUCCUGUAAAGAAGGAAAAAAUUCCCAUUAGAUGGGAGAUGAUGGUACUUCUGGAGUAAGCCCCGGCUAACUACGUGCCAGCAGCCGCGGUAAUACGUAGGGGGCAAGCGUUGUCCGGAUUUACUGGGUGUAAAGGGUGCUCAGGCGGAUUUGUAAGUCAGAGGUGAAAUCUUACAGCUUAACUGUGAAACUGCCUUUGAUACUGCAAGCCUAGAGUAUGGAAGAGAGUGAUGGAAUAUCUGGUGUAGCAGUGAAAUGCGUAGAUAUCAGAUAGAACACUAAUGGCGAAGGCAGUCACUUGGUCCAUUACUGACGCUAAAGCACGAAAGCGUGGGUAGCAAACA
rnacentral:rRNA from 1 species